rnacentral:rRNA from 2 species
UCCGGCGCAAAGAGAGGCCCAAGUGAGAUUAGCUAGUUGGUAAGGUAACGGCUUACCAAGGCGACGAUCUCUAGCUGUUCUGAGAGGAAGAUCAGCCACACUGGGACUGAGACACGGCCCAGACUCCUACGGGAGGCAGCAGUGGGGAAUAUUGCACAAUGGGGGAAACCCUGAUGCAGCCAUGCCGCGUGUGUGAAGAAGGCCUUCGGGUUGUAAAGCACUUUCAGUUGUGAGGAAAAGUUAGUAGUUAAUACCUGCUAGCCGUGACGUUAACAACAGAAGAAGCACCGGCUAACUCCGUGCCAGCAGCCGCGGUAAUACGGAGGGUGCGAGCGUUAAUCGGAAUUACUGGGCGUAAAGCGCACGCAGGCGGUUUGUUAAGCUAGAUGUGAAAGCCCCGGGCUCAACCUGGGAUGGUCAUUUAGAACUGGCAGACUAGAGUCUUGGAGAGGGGAGUGGAAUUCCA